GGCUCCCCGCCGCCUUCAGUCUUCCGAGCCCCUUCGGGGGGUUCUCCCAUCGGGGCUUCUGCCUUGGAGGCCAACCUCGAAAGGAUGCCACGGACCAAGAGGAGUAUGAGGGGGAAAACAGCGGCCUGCAAAUUCUCCGACUGUCGAACUAUCACUGAGGGUUCCCAUCGCCUCAAAGGGGGCUCGAGGGAGAAUUCCUUCAACAACAGGGAUUUAAUAACGGGGACAAUCGAUGAGCGCGUUUCGCCCGAGAAUUUUGGAGUAGUUGAACGGGGUGACACCGGUCAAAGGGGGCAG
rnacentral:lncRNA from 1 species